UGAAUACGAGAUGCUACGGCGUCGAAGCAGUCUAUGUCAUACUUCCAAGAAAAGCUUGCACUGUCAUAAACAAAUAAUGCCUGUACCAUAACCGACACAGGUGGGUAGGUAGAGUAUACUAAGGGGCGCGAGAUAACUCUCUCUAAGGAACUCGGCAAAAUGACUCCGUAACUUCGGGAGAAGGAGUGCCUUAUUUAUAAGGUUGCAAUAACAAGAUCCAAGCAACUGUUUACCAAAAACACAGGUCUCCGCUAAGUCGUAAGACGAUGUAUGGGGGCUGACGCCUGCCCAGUGCCAGAAGGUUAAAGAAGUUGGUUAGCAUCCGCGAAGCUGAUAACUGAAGCCCUGGUGAACGGCGGCCGUAACAAUAACGGUCCUAAGGUAGCGAAAUUCCUUGUCGGGUAAGUUCCGACCCGCACGAAAGGCGUAAUGAUUUGGAUACUGUCUCGGAGAGGGGCUCGGUGAAAUAGACUUGUCUGUGAAGAUGCGGACUACCUGCACCAGGACAGAAAGACCCUAUGAAGCUUUACUGUAACCUGAAAUUGAAAUUGGACUUUACUUGCGCAGUAUAUGUGGGAGGCGUUGAGAAUAUUCUUGCGGGAUUAUUGGAGCCAUCAGUGAGAUACCACUCUUGUAAUGUUAGAUUUCUAACUUUGUAUCAUUAUCUGGUCAAAGAACAGUUUCAGGCGGGCAGUUUGACUGGGGCGGUCGCCUCCUAAACGGUAACGGAGGCGCACAAAGGUUUCCUCUGAACGGGUAGAAAUCGUAUCUAGAGUGUAAAGGCAUAAGGAAGCUUGACUGUGAGACCUACAAGUCGAGCAGGGACGAAAGUCGGUCUUAGUGAUCUGACGGUGCUGAGUGGAAAGGCCGUCACUCAACGGAUAAAAGUUACUCUAAGGAUAACAGGCUGAUCUCCCCCAAGAGUUCACAUCGACGGGGAGGUUUGGCACCUCGAUGUCGGCUCAUCGCAUCCUGGGGCGGUAGUACGUCCCAAGGGUUGGGCUGUUCGCCCAUGAAAGCGGUACGCGAGCUGGGUUCAGAACGUCGUGAGACAGUUCGGUCCAUAUCCGGUGUAGGCGUUAGAAUAUUGAGAGGAGCCUUCUUUAGUACGAGAGGACCGAGAAGGACAUACCUCUGGUGUACCAGUUAUCGUGCCAACGGUAAACGCUGGGUAGCUAUGUGUGGAGUGGAUAACCGCUGAAAGCAUCUAAGUGGGAAGCCCACCUCAAGAUAAGUAUUCCC
rnacentral:rRNA from 1 species